UUUUUCUUUUUUUUUAAUUUAGAGAAGCCCUUUCAGUAUUUCUUUUAGAAUGGGUUUAGUAUUGCUGUACUCUUUCAGCUUUUGUUUGUUGGAGAAAUUCUUUAUUUCCCUUUCUAUUUUAAAUGAUAUUCUUGCUGGAUAGAGUAUUCUAGGUUGCAGAUUUUUUUUCCUUUCAGCCCUUUAAAAAUAUCUUGCCACUCCCUUAUGACCUGUAGUGUUUCUGUAGAGAAAUCAGCUGAUAGCCUUAUGGUGGUUCCCUUAUAUUUGACACUUUGCUUUUCUCUUGCUGCCUUUAGAAUAAUCUCUUUGUCUCUGCCUUUUGCCAUUUUUAUUGUAAUAUGUCUUGGUGUGGGCCUGUUUGGGUUCAGCUUGUUUGGGGCCCUCUGUGCUUCCUGUCUCUUGAUAUCAGUAUCCUUUAGAUUUGGAAUGUUUUCAGCCAUAAUUUCUUCAAAUAUAUUUUCAAUCCCCUUUUCUUUUUCUUCUCCUUCUGGCAUUCCUAUUAUGCAUAGAUGGGCCUGCUUUAUAUCAUCCCAUAGGUCUCUUAUAUUGCUUUCAUGUUUUUCAUUUGGUUUUCUGUCUGCUGCUCUGUUUGGGUGAUUUCUAUUAUUCUGUCUUCCAUGUCACUAAUUCGUUCCUCUGCAUUAUUCAUUCUGGUCUUGAUUGCCUUUAGCUCAGUUUGUAUCUCUGCAAGUGAAUUUUCUAUUUUUCUUGGCUCUUCCUUAUAUUUUAUAGUUCCUUUCUGAGGGAAUCUGCACUGCUGUUCUCAUUCUCUCUUAAUUCCUUCAAUAUUUUCACUAUCUCCCUUUUGAACUCCAAGUCUGUCAGACUGUGGUGGUCUGUUUCAUUGUUGAUUGCUUUAGGUGAGUUCUCCUGUUGCUUUAACUGGGAAUGGUUUCUGAGCUUCUUCAUCUUGCUUGUGUUUUUCUUUUUCUGUGAGUUUGGAGGAACCAAACUGUAGUCUUGUAAGGCUACUUCUAUGCGUGAGUACGCCUUUGUAUUUUUUUGGGGGGGGUUACUAUUUAUUUUUGGUGUGAGAGUUUGAAUAUUUGCUGUCUCUUUCUUUGGUGUGAGUAGGCUGUUAUCCC
rnacentral:lncRNA from 1 species